UCCUUUAUCCUGCGUCGUCGCCUGCCUCUUCUCCUCCUGUCCUCCUUUCGUUUCGUUUCCCCUCGGUGCUCACUCCUCUCCGUGCUCCUACGCUCUGGUCUGUGAGUCGUCGCUAGGGUUGGUCGCCGAAGGGCUCCGAUGGCGGCGCGCUGCCGUGACGCCAGUUAAGAUCCGCUGUUCUCCUCUUCGCUGGGCCUGGAUCCGCUGCACCGUUCUUCGAUCUGCGGUUGCUCCUGCUUGGUCAGCGAACCUGCUCAUCCUCGUGUGCGUGUUGGUCUUCGCGUCUUGCUCCAAGGAUCUGCAGGUUGUUUUGGUCUAGAGGUUAUUUCUCUAAGAUGGUCGUGUUGAUAGGCCCUGUAACGUGGUGGUGUUGUUGGUUGCUUCGCACGGUAAGCCAUAACUUGGUAAUAAGAUUAAUUUUCAUGUCCUUCGGUAUGUAUGCUCAUGCGUUUGUCCCUUUGUAUGGUGUGUGUCGGUAUUUUCUCGGUUUUCCUUAAUGUGUCAUAACUACAGGCAUGUUUAUCCUGCGUUCUUCGUGUGUGCCUCUGUUUGAGGCUGUUGCGAGCUACUGUCGACUGCCAUUCCAUUCAUAUGUUCGAGAGGUGGCGUCUGAUGGUUCUCUACUUGGAGGGGUUGAGAUCGAUGUUCUUGUUA